CCUACGGGAGGCAGCAGUGGGGAAUUUUGGACAAUGGGCGCAAGCCUGAUCCAGCCAUGCCGCGUGAGUGAAGAAGGCCUUCGGGUUGUAAAGCUCUUUCGUCAGGAACGAAACGGCGGGCUCUAACAUAGCCUGUUAAUGACGGUACCUGAAGAAGAAGCACCGGCUAACUACGUGCCAGCAGCCGCGGUAAU
rnacentral:rRNA from 1 species